UACGGGGGGGGCAAGCGUUGUUCGGAAUUACUGGGCGUAAAGGGCUCGUAGGCGGCCAACUAAGUCGGACGUGAAAUCCCCAGGCUCAACCUGGGAACUGCGUCCGAUACUGGAUGGCUUGAAUUCGGGAGAGGGAUGCAGAAUUCCAGGUGUAGCGGUGAAAUGCGUAGAUAUCUGGAGGAACACCGGUGGCGAAGGCGGGUCUCUGGGCCGAUACUGACGCUGAGGAGCGAAAGCGUGGGGAGCGAACAGG
rnacentral:rRNA from 1 species